rnacentral:ncRNA from 1 species
GAGUUCGAAUCUAGAAGCGUGAAUGUUUGUAAAUGUAUAGCGUCUGCGGCAUGGGGGCAUUCUAAAUAAACGGAGAACCGAAAGUCCCCUCCAGAGGUUGGUGGAAAAACGGCUACCACAUCCAAGGAAGGCAGCAGGCGCACAAAUUACCCAUUCCCAGAAUGGGGAGGUAGAGACAAGAAAUAACAAUACGGGACUCCUCGGACCCCAUAAUUGAACACUAAAUCCUUUAAAGAGGAUCAAUAGGAGGGAAAGUCUGGUGUCAGUAGCGGCGGUAAUUCCAGCUCCAAUAGCGUAUAUUAAAGUUGUUGCGGUUAAAAAGCUCGUAAUGGGAUUUCAGUUCCAGCCGGGUGGUCCACCUUCCGGUGGUUACUGCUUGUCUUGGACAGCCAGCAUGUUUCCUUUGAUGAUCUUCCCCGGUUGUCUUCGGACCAAGGCGAAGUCUUACGGAGUACCUUUGCUAAUUAAAGCAAUUACCUCCACAUCAUCGUUAAGAGAAAUGAACAAUUCAAAAAGAGCAAUGGCUAAAGAAAUGAAAGAGAACCGCUAAGGUUUAAAUGUCCAAGAGUUGAAUAAGAAGUCCGCACAAUGGGACAAGAAAGUCUUUCAAACACUCUCUUACCUGUACAGGAAUUCCUGCAGCGAUAAUUGAGUGUUGAUUCGGUGACUGGCAAGUUUACUUUGAAAAAAUUAGUGCUCAAAGCAGGCGUGACGCUUGAAGAAAGCUGCAUGGAAUAAUAGAAUAGGACCUCGGUUCUAUUUUGUUGGUUUUAGGAAUAUGAGGUAAUGACUAAGAGAGACGAGGAACAGGGGUGGGAGAUCCUCAGACCUGUUUCCUCCAGGGUGCUUUUCAUCAAAA